rnacentral:misc_RNA from 1 species
GAAGUAUGGUGCUGGCAUUGGCCCCGGAGUAUACGACAUCCAUUCACAAAGGAUUCCAUCAACAGAAGAAAUAGCUGACAGAAUCAGCAAGAUGCUUGCAGUCCUUGAUACCAACAUCCUCUGGGUUAACCCCGACUGUGGCCUCAAAACGCGCAAGUAUACUGAAGUUAAGCCUGCACUCAGCAACAUGGUAGCAGCUGCUAAGCUUCUCCGCAACCAGUUGGCCAGCACGAAGUGAGCUUGACUUACCAUAGUUGAUACAACGUGACGUUUGAAAUUGCCUUGGCUGUUUGUUGCAGAGAAAUAAUAUGUAGGUUUCUGAGUUACUAGCCAAAUUAUCUGAGGUUUGCUAUUUAGCUCCUUUUUUCAUCAUUGCUUCUUGUAUUUACCCUAAUAGAAGUAAGAAAAAUAAAUUUCACA